CUGUCCCCAGUGCAGCAGUCCUUUCAUAGAAACUCCUGAUGAAGGUAAAUUUCUCCACUGAGCGGCCCUUUCAUCUCCGAGUCACUUAGCUAUGCGCUUCCUGUUAGCAUUAUGUACAUGUCCAGGAGUCACGUCCAAGCUUUCUGGUGCUUUCUACAGCGGAGUGGGCCGUGCGAGUAGCAGGAGUGUGUGGGAGAAGAACGAGCAGCAGGAGCAGACCAGCUCAUUCUCACUAUACAGCUCUGCAGGAGUAUCCAGUGUUAGUUCCAGUCAGAUGUAAAGCUGUUUCUUUACAAUUUGCAUCAUGGGAGACUCUUCAGCACUUCCUGGUUUCUGGAUAAUGUAAGAGUCUGCAUGGUUUUGUCUUACUUCGUUCAAAAUAAAAAAAAUAUAUUUUUCUGCAGACAUUCUGAUGCAUCAGUCUUUAAAAAAUAAAACUGUUAGCACGGUCAGUGUGGUUAAGUGGUGUUGUUGUGGUGAUAUUGAAAAUAAAUUAUAUUUGCUAUCAUUGAUUAUUUUUCUUAGAACAGUGAGCUGAACUAUUCCAUAUUUAACCUCUGCAUGAAUGCUUGCUCCAUCUACAAUUAAAAAGUUAUGUGCAUAAGUAUGUUUAAAAUAUACGUAUGAAGUAUGUUUUAAAAUGUUAAUUUCCUCAUGAACUGAGGUCUGUGUGUGUAAAUACUGG